UACGAAGGGGGCUAGCGUUGCUCGGAAUCACUGGGCGUAAAGGGUGCGUAGGCGGGUCUUUAAGUCAGGGGUGAAAUCCUGGAGCUCAACUCCAGAGCUGCCUUUGAUACUGAGGAUCUUGAGUUCGGGAGAGGUGAGUGGAACUGCGAGUGUAGAGGUGAAAUUCGUAGAUAUUCGCAAGAACACCAGUGGCGAAGGCGGCUCACUGGCCCGGUACUGACGCUGAGGUGCGAAAGCGUGGGGAGCAAACAGG
rnacentral:rRNA from 1 species